rnacentral:rRNA from 1 species
CCUACGGGAGGCAGCAGUGAGGAAUAUUGGUCAAUGGACGGAAGUCUGAACCAGCCAUGCCGCGUGCAGGAAGACGGCUCUAUGAGUUGUAAACUGCUUUUGUACAAGGGUAAACCUGAAUACGUGUAUUCAGCUGAAAGUACUGUACGAAUAAGGAUCGGCUAACUCCGUGCCGGCAGCCGCGGUAAUACGGAGGAUGCGAGCGUUAUCCGGAUUUAUUGGGUUAAAGGGGUGCGUAGGCGGACUAUCAAGUCAGCGGUAAAACUUCGGGGUUCAACCCCGUAGUGCCGUUGAAACUGGUGUUAUUGAGUGGACGAGAAGUAUGCGGAAUGCGUGGUGUAGCGGUGAAAUGCAUAGAUAUCACGCAGAACUCCGAUUGCGAAGGCAGCAUACCGGCGCCCAACUGACGCUGAGGCACGAAAGCGUGGGUAUCGAACAGGAUUAGAUACCCCUGUAGUC